rnacentral:rRNA from 1 species
AUUGAACGCUGGCGGCAGGCCUAACACAUGCAAGUCGAGCGAGCGGCGGACGGGUGAGUAAUGUAUGGGGACUGCCCGAUAGAGGGGGAUAACUACUGGAAACGGUAGCUAAUACCGCAUACUAUCGGAUAACCCAUAUGGGAUUAGCUCGUAGGUGAGGUAAUGGCUCACCUAGUCGACGAUCCCUAGCUGGUCUGAGAGGAUGAUCAGCCCACCUGGGACUGGGAAACGGCCCAAAAUCCUACGGGGGCAGCAGUGGGGAAUAUUGCACAAUGGGCGCAAGCCUGAUGCAGCCCUGCCGCGUGUAUGAAGAAGGCCCUAGGGUUGUAAAGUACUUUCAGUCGGGAGGCGUUACCGACAGAAGAAGCACCGGCUAACUCCGUGCCAGCAGCCGCGGUAAUUC